GAUGAACGCUAGCGAUAGGCUUAACACAUGCGAGUCGCGGGGCAGCACAAGGUAGCUUGCUAUCUGGGUGGCGACCGGCGCACGGGUGCGUAACGCGUAUGCAACUUGCCCUAUACAGGAGGAUAACCCGUCGAAAGACGGACUAAUACUGCGUAUGCUCACAACUUGGCAUCAAGUGGUGAGGAAAGAAAUUCGGUAUAGGAUAGGCAUGCGUCCCAUUAGCUUGUUGGUGAGGUAACGGCUCACCAAGGCAACGAUGGGUAGGGGAACUGAGAGGUUUAUCCCCCACACUGGUACUGAGACACGGACCAGACUCCUACGGGAGGCAGCAGUGAGGAAUAUUGGUCAAUGGGCGCGAGCCUGAACCAGCCAAGUCGCGUGAAGGAUGACUGGCUUAUGGAUUGUAAACUUCUUUUAUACGGGAAUAACAAGAGUCACGUGUGACUCCCUGCAUGUACCGUAUGAAUAAGCAUCGGCUAACUCCGUG
rnacentral:rRNA from 1 species